rnacentral:rRNA from 1 species
UACGUAGGGGGCUAGCGUUAUCCGGAAUUACUGGGCGUAAAGGGUGCGUAGGUGGUUUCUUAAGUCAGAGGUGAAAGGCUACGGCUCAACCGUAGUAAGCCUUUGAAACUGGGAAACUUGAGUGCAGGAGAGGAGAGUGGAAUUCCUAGUGUAGCGGUGAAAUGCGUAGAUAUUAGGAGGAACACCAGUUGCGAAGGCGGCUCUCUGGACUGUAACUGACACUGAGGCACGAAAGCGUGGGGAGCAAACAGGAUUAGAAACCCUAGUAGUCC